rnacentral:rRNA from 1 species
AGAGUUUGAUCCUGGCUCAGGAUAAACGCUGGCGGCGUGCAUUAGACAUGCAAGUCGAACGAACAACCUCGGGCUUGCCCGGGGAAGUGAGUGGCGAACGGCUGAGUAACGCGUAGGUGACCUGUCCUGAAGUGGGGAAUAACUGCCCGAAAGGGUGGCUAAUACCGCAUACGGUCAUGAGUUCAUUCUCAUGUCCAAAGCCUUCGGGCGCUACAGGAGGGGCCUGCGUACGAUUAGCUCGUUGGUGAGGUAACGGCUCACCAAGGCGACGAUCGUUAGGUGGUCUGAGAGGAUGAUCACCCAGACUGGGACUGAGACACGGCCCAGACUCCUACGGGAGGCAGCAGUCGGGAAUUUUGCUCAAUGGGGGAAACCCUGAAGCAGCAACGCCGCGUGAGGGAUGACGGCCUUCGGGUUGUAAACCUCUUUUGCCGGGGACGAUAAUGACGGUACCCGGAGAAUAAGCCACGGCUAACUACGUGCCAGCAGCCGCGGUAAUACGUAGGUGGCAAGCGUUGUCCGGAUUUACUGGGCGUAAAGAGCGCGCAGGCGGCCAAGUCAGUCGAAUGUGAAAGCCCCCGGCUCAACUGGGGAAGGUCGUUCGAUACUGCUUGGCUCGAAGAUAGGAGAGGGAAGUGGAAUUUCAGGUGUAGUGGUGAAAUGCGUAGAUAUCUGAAGGAACACCAGUGGCGAAGGCGACUUUCUGGCCUAUUCUUGACGCUGAGGCGCGAAAGCUAGGGGAGCGAACGGGAUUAGAUACCCCGGUAGUCCUAGCCGUAAACGAUGAACACUAGAUGUUGGUGGUAUCAACCCCGCCAGUGUCGCAGCUAACGCAUUAAGUGUUCCGCCUGGGGAGUACGGCCGCAAGGCUAAAACUCAAAGGAAUUGACGGGGGCCCGCACAAGCAGCGGAGCGUGGGGUUUAAUUCGACGCAACGCGAAGAACCUUACCAGGGCUUGACAUGACCAGGAAACCGGCGGAAACGUCGGCGCCUCGCAAGAGGCCUGGCCACAGGUGUUGCAUGGCUGUCGUC